UGGGGAAUAUUGGACAAUGGGCGCAAGCCUGAUCCAGCCAUGCCGCGUGAUUGAUGAAGGCCCUAGGGUUGUAAAGCUCUUUCACCGGUGAAGAUAAUGACGGUAACCGGAGAAGAAGCCCCGGCUAACUUCGUGCCAGCAGCCGCGGUAAUACGAAGGGGGCUAGCGUUGUUCGGAUUUACUGGGCGUAAAGCGCACGUAGGCGGACUAUUAAGUCAGGGUUGAAAUCCCGGGGCUCAACCCCGGAACUGCCUUUGAUACUGGUAGUCUUGAGUUCGAGAGAGGUGAGUGGAAUUCCGCGUGUAGAGGUGAAAUUCGUAGAUAUUCGGAGGAACACCAGUGGCGAAGGCGGCUCACUGGCUAGAUACUGACGCUGAGGUGCGAAAGCGUGGGGAGCAAACAGG
rnacentral:rRNA from 1 species